rnacentral:rRNA from 1 species
GACGAACGCUGGCGGCGUGCUUAACACAUGCAAGUCGAACGCUGAAGCACCAGCUUGCUGGUGUGGAUGAGUGGCGAACGGGUGAGUAAUACGUGAGUAACCUGCCCUUGACUCUGGGAUAAGCCCGGGAAACUGGGUCUAAUACUGGAUGCUACAUGUCACCGCAUGGUGGUGUGUGGAAAGGGUUUACUGGUCUUGGAUGGGCUCACGGCCUAUCAGCUUGUUGGUGAGGUAAUGGCUCACCAAGGCGACGACGGGUAGCCGGCCUGAGAGGGUGACCGGCCACACUGGGACUGAGACACGGCCCAGACUCCUACGGGAGGCAGCAGGGGGGAAUAUUGCACAAUGGGCGAAAGCCUGAUGCAGCGACGCCGCGUGAGGGAGGACGGCCUUCGGGUUGUAAACCUCCUUCAGCAGGGAAGAAGCCACAAGUGACGGUACCUGCAGAAGAAGCGCCGGCUAACUACGUG